rnacentral:lncRNA from 1 species
AUGGUCUCAAAAUUCUGUGACAGAUUUUUGAUCAAGUUGUUUGCAUUUAAAAUUUCCUGAUUUUAAAAACCAAUAACUUAAAACAAAUGAUCCACAAAAACAUUCCUUUUCUCCUGAAGCUUUUACAAUGCAUUGUAAUCAUUAACCAGUCUUUUACUAUUAAACUUAAAUGACCAAUUGAGACAAACAGUUCUGAGACUGUUCUUCCACCACUGAUUAAGAUGGGGGUGGCAGGUAUUGUACAAAAUAUUCAUUUAGCCUUCUGGGCAGAUUUUGUGACCUUGCUAGCUCCAGCAGCCUUCUUGUCAACUGCCUUGAUGACACCAACUACAACAGUCUGUCUCAUAUCACGAACAGCAAAACAACCCAGAGGUGUAUAAUCGAAGAAGCUCUCCACACACGUGGGCUUGUCUGGAACCAUGUUCAACAAUGGCAGCAUCACCAGAUUUCAGGAAUUUAGGGUCAUCUUCCAGCUUCUUGCUCAAUGACAAUCAAUCUUCUCCUUCAGUUCAGCAAACUUGCAAGCAAUGUGAGCAGUGUGACAAUCCAGAACAGGUGUGUAACCAGCACUGAUUUGGCCUGUAUGGUUCAGGAUAAUGACCUGUGCAGUGAAGCCAGCUGCUUCCAUAGGUAGGUCAUUCUUGCUAUCACCAGCCACAUUACCAUGGCAGACAUUUUUGACAGAUAUGUUCUUGACAUUGAAACCAAUGUUAUCCCCUGGCAGAGCCUCACUCAAAGCUUCAUGGUGCAUUUCAACAGAUUUUACUUCAGUUGUACCAUCGACUGGGGCAAAGGUGACCACCUUGCUUGGUUUUAGAAUACCAGUUUCCACUCUGCCAACAGUCGAAGAGGAGAGGAACCUGGAGCCAGAGGCUAGUGAAGAGAGUCAUCUGAAAACUCAUUCAUUAUCUGAAGGAUUCAUUGUGAUCCACAACCCAAAGGAGAGGCUUCAUCCAUUAAGUUGCUAGUCAUAGCAUUAAUAAGAUCAUAGUGUACACUCCAGAAUCAACUUUCUGCAGCACGAACAGAAAAGACUAUUCCCACCUUUAGGGUUAUCUGGAAAAAGUUAAGGAGGAAUAACUUUUAGGGGGCAAUGUAGUGUUGACAGUAGAAUGAUAAUGACUAGAAAAGGGCAAUAGCUUUUUUGCAGUAUUACGAAAAGAAAAAGGAGGUUAAUUAGGAUUGUAAGAAUUCAGUUUAAAAUAAUUUUUCCUAUUUGUUUGCUCUAAAACUUGGUAGAAUCAUAAUGGCCAGAAUACUUUGAAGUUCUAAGUCCUUUCCAGGAUAAUAGCACUUAAGAUAAAACUUGUGCAGCAUACUAAUUGAGUUACCUUCAGUGAGAAAGGAUAUAUUAUUUGUUAAACUCUGCUUCUUAGUUGAGAAACAACUGCUUUUGUAAUGUUGGGGAAAUGGCAUCUAUUUCAUAAAAAAAAAAAUUUUUUUUACACAUGCCUCAUUUAUUUUGUCUUUCAAUAAAGCAUUAAUUUAC